UUCUUCCUUGACUUAUCAAGCUGCCUUCUC
rnacentral:piRNA from 1 species